rnacentral:rRNA from 1 species
UACAGAGGGUGCAAGCGUUAAUCGGAAUUACUGGGCGUAAAGCGCUCGUAGGCGGAUACCUAAGUCGAUUGUGAAAGCCCUGGGCUUAACCUGGGAACUGCAGUCGAUACUGGGUGUCUAGAGUAUGAUAGAGGAUAGUGGAAUUCCCGGUGUAGCAGUGAAAUGCGUAGAUAUCGGGAGGAACACCAGUGGCGAAGGCGACUUUCUGGAUCAAUACUGACGCUGAGGAGCGAAAGCGUGGGGAGCAAACAGG